ACAUCGUAAGCACAACCUGCAGUGAUGACCAACCAAGGUUUACAUAGCAGCCUCUGGGUUCUGCUUUGGGACCCUCUGGCUUUUUUGGGGACAGCAUCCAGGAUUAGAAGGGAACACCUGGGAACCAUCUGAGAAACCUGAGUGUGCUUCUGUUGAAGAGCCACCAGGCCAUGGGCCUGAGGGAGCCAUAGCAUCUUCUAGGGACCAUCACCAGCUGCCCCCUAUCAGGGAGGGUGAGGCACCCAUUUAGCAGCACCUGGGCAAGGUCUAUAUAAGAGGUAACUGGAGGAACCUCAGGGUACCACCACUUUUUGCAGGAUCUGAUGGAGGAAGGAGGGACUCAGGUAGGCCUGUUCCAGAAUAACCAGUCUCAGGUUUGGUGUGGUACACUGUGGGGCAGUUCCCUCAGCAGGUGCUGGAGCAGCUGCCCCUGCCAGGGGAAAGGUUUGGCCUUUCCCCUGCUGAAGAUUUGCUGUCUUGCAGGAGCCGUGGCACUGACUGAAGAGUUUUAGGAGGAAGUGAGCAGGCUGCACAACAACAGCAAAGGAGAUUUAUGGGAGAUUGACAGGACCUUGUCUGGGACUCAGCAGCCUGGAGAGCCUCAGCCCUGCCCUCUGCAACAGAGAAGCAGGCAGUGUUCACCUCCAUCCUCAAGGAGCAUGUGUACAAAGGGAAGCAUCUUUCACCAGGUCCUGAAGGAAGGCACCUUCCACCUAAUGGAUGCUGCUCCAGGCCUCAUUUCGGUCCCUGCACGAGCUCUGCUGCGAAGCAGGCAUGAAACAACCCACCUGGCUAAGAGAAUCCAACUGCAUUGGAAGAGACCUCCGAGAUCAUCAAGUGCAACCCUUGAUCCAACCCCACUGUGAUUACCAGAUCAUGGCACUCAGUGCCACAUCCAGCCUUCUCUUAAAAACCUCCAGGGACGGUGAAUCCACCACCUCUCUAGGCAGGACAUUGCAAUGCCGGAUCACUCUCUCUGUAGAGAACUUUCUAAUAUCCAACCUAAACCUCCCCUGGCAGUGCUUAGGCCCGUGCCCUCUUGUCCUACUGCUGACUGCCUGGGAGAAGAGACUGACUCAAAAAAAAAUAAACAACCCAAACUCUUUCUAUAUGAAUAAUCAAAUAUAUGCAGUAGAAUAGAAUUUUUAGAUUUAGAUAAAGGGGGAAAAAAACCCCAAAAUACUAAACCCACUAGGCCUCUACAAAGUAAAUUAAAGUACUUAGUGAAAGGAAAUUCUGGCAUAUACAGUGGCUUUAAAUUUCAAAUAUCCUUCAAGAAGUUAUUAAACAGAGACACUACUGCUGAGAAAGAGACAAAAUACAGCCAUAUUUUCUUAGUAUGUCUCUUACAAUUGCAAAAGAAGUAGUCAUUACAUUAGCUUAGUCUCAAAGUAAUUUUUCCAUUUUUAAUGCCUUAUGAUUAUUACAGGUUUUUAAAGAAGGCAGUAACUCGUAUGAACAAGCUAUUUGCAUUCCGAUUUUGCCUUUCUAGGUGUUUGUCAAACUAAGAGCCAUAUACUGGGCUUUACCCUAUUUGAACCUUCAUGGCUUUGCUGUAGGCUUCAGCCAGUAUUGCGGUAAACUGUGCAAGCGAAGAAAGGCAUUUGAAUCUCCCCAGAUUUGGCUCUCAAAUUUGAAGCAGAUGUGCCAAAGCUUAGAGCCUUCUAAAAUACUCUUCUGUUAGCCGGUCAAAAUUCUCUACAGAGUGUAUCUACUGUCUGCUUAAGGGAGCCGUCUAAAAUAUUCUUCUACCAGCUGGUCAAAAUUCUCUACAGAGUGUAUCUACUGUCUGCUUAAGGGAGCCGUCUAAAAUAUUCUUCUACCAGCUGGUCAAAAUUCUCUACAGAGUGUAUCUACUGUCUGCUUAAGGGAGCCGUCUAAAAUAUUCUUCUACCAGCUGGUCAAAAUUCUCUACCGAGUGUAUCUACCGUCUGCUUAAGGAAGCCAGCGAAUACUCCUCUGCAUGGCAGUCUCGCCCCUUUCACCUGACCCCUUUGGGAAUGAAUUUACGGAACACCCCCUUGAAGAUGGAUUUACAGAAGGACAUGUUGCUCUUCCUUCAAGGAAACUUAAUCUCUGCAAACGAAGUAUAUGAAGAGAGCAGAAUAGAACCAGGGGGCCUACAGGGAAGCCGGAGAGAAACUUCACGAGGUACUGUUGUGACGGGACAAGGAGUGAUAGGUACAGACUGAAAGAUGGGAAAUUCGGGUUAGGUAUUGGGAAGAAAUUUUUCCCUGUCAGGGUGGUGAGACACGGGAACAGGUUGUCCAAGGGAGGUUGUGGCUGCUCCACCCCUGGUACUGUUCAAAGGCAGGUUGUACGGGGGCUUAGU